rnacentral:rRNA from 1 species
UGUCAAUAAGUGGUUUGAGUAUCAGGUGCGGAUUCCGCUACUCUCAAACGUGCCACGUCCAGAACUUCCGUUCGUCUAA